rnacentral:tRNA from 1 species
GGCUUCGAGGUGUAGUGGUCAGCACGCUGGGCGCGUAUUCCAGAGGUCCGUGGUUCGAGUCCCGGCGAAGGCG